UAAAUAAGCGGAGGAAAAGAAACUAACUAGGAUUGGUCCAGUAACGGCGAGUGAAGCGCCAUUAGCCCAGCCUGUGAAUCGUCACUUGUGUCGAAUUGUGGUCUGCAGGUCUUUUCGUUCUGCUGGUGGACAAAGUCCCCUGGAACGGGGCAGCGUAGAGGGUGAGACUCCCGUACGUCCGCAUGCAUGAGAAGAGACCGUCGAGUCGAGUUGUUUGGGAUUGCAGCUCCAAUUGGGUGGUAAAUUCCAUCCAAGGCUAAAUACUGGUGAGAGACCGAUAGCGUACAAGUACCGUGAGGGAAAGAUGCAAAGCCGCGCGAGAGCGCUGUCAAAGAGUACCUGAACUUGCUGAAAAGGAAGCAAAGGGAACCAGUGUGAGCCACACCGCAUUUCCCCAUUCGCUUGCGAUUGAGGCGCUGCGGCUGGCGUUGUCCAUGUUGGCGGCUAGCAGUGGAAGAGUUUCGACUGGCGCUGCAAGCUGCUGACUUGGACGAAAUGGUUCUCUUUUUCCCG
rnacentral:rRNA from 1 species